rnacentral:sRNA from 1 species
UGAAUAGUCGAUUCAAUGGAAGAAUGUUAUAAAAGUUUACUUGUGUAAAACAAUGGUCAAACAAAGUUUUAUGCAUCGUUUACUUUGAUAAAACGACACCAGAAUUUUGAUCUUGGCUUUUGUUGACUGGAUCUAAUGACAGUUAAAUUUUGUCGACUUAGAUGAAUCUUUGAACCAUGAUAAACAGUCAUAUUUUCCAAGACACGGUUCUUAAAAGAAGAAUGUAAAUAACACUUUUAGUGACGUACAGUAAUGGUUAAAUGUAAAUAUCUUUAUAAAAAAUGCGCAUAUAUUUAUCUAUCUAUCUAUCUAUCUAUCUAUCUAUCUAUCUAUCUAUCUUUAUAUAUAAAUCAUUAAAAAUCAAAUUGAAAAAUAUGUGAGAUACUAGAUAUAAAUAUUAUGACAAGACAUCUUUUCUAUAUAGAGACAUAACCCUUGACACGUACCUUGUAUUUGAAUUUUGUUGAUUUUUUCAGCUUUCAUGUAAAUAUAAUUGAUUUUGAUUUUCAAAAUAUUUCUUUUCAGGCUAUGGUUUUUGUAAUAUCUAAUGACUAAUGUAUAUUCUAAAAUAACUUAUGCUUGAUAAUCUAGUGUUGAAUAUGAACAGUUUUGUAAUUUUGUUGCACACAAUAUUCAAAUGGUAGCUUUUAAACUUGCUUUUAAAAUAGUGUGGUUUUUACAUGUAUCAUUUUAAAAAAAAACUAUGCUUUUUUUCACACGUUGGUUGUAAAUAGAGAAACAAUAAACUUGUUUAUUUUAU